UCGAGAAUCUUCGGCAAUGGGCGCAAGCCUGACCGAGCGACGCCGCGUGCGAGAUGAAGGCCUUCGGGUUGUAAAUCGCUGUCAGAGGGGAGGAAAUGCCGGUGGGUUCUCCCACCGGUUUGACCUAUCCUCAGAGGAAGGACGGGCUAAGUUCGUGCCAGCAGCCGCGGUAAGACGAACCGUCCAAACGUUAUUCGGAAUCACUGGGCUUAAAGGGUGCGUAGGCGGUCCGGGAAGUUGGGUGUGAAAGCCCUCGGCUCAACCGAGGAAUUGCGCCCAAAACUGCCGGGCUUGAGGGAGACAUAGGUGAGCGGAACUUAGGGUGGAGCGGUGAAAUGCGUUGAGAUCCUAAGGAACACCAGUAGCGAAAGCGGCUCACUGGGUCUCUUCUGACGCUGAAGCACGAAAGCUAGGAGAGCGAAGAG
rnacentral:rRNA from 1 species